GUAAAAUUUCUUAAAGAUCCAUUUAAACUAAAGUUAGAGUGCGAAAACCAAUGUGUCUUCGGACGACGACGACGACGACGACGCCAACGUCAUACCAAUAUACGACCACAAAAAUGUUUUUGCGGUCGUAUAAAAAUACAAUAGUACUAAGUAUCCAGUACAAAAAAAAUAUUCGUAAGGGGUUUCGUGGAACCUUGUGUCUCGCCUGCGAUUGCUGCUGUCAGUGUAAAAGUGUAAUGUUGACUUAAAAAGUGAGUUUAUUUAUCAGUAAAAUACAGAAUUUAAAAAAAAACUUUUUCUUUAAAUGUUAUUUCUUGGUCUUGAAAAUUAGCUUCUGUCAAUGUUUCAUAACAAUCCAUGAAGGUUUACAAAUUUAUCAUGUCAAAAAAAUUAAUCCCAGACUCUUAAAAUUUACUUCCGACAUUAUCUCUAAAUCAUUAAAAAGCUUCUGCCAAAAUUUAAUAAACUUCUAUGAAGGUUUGACAAAGUCUAUAGGGGGGAGGGGGUCUCUUCCUAUAUGAAGGUAUAUACAUAUGUGCCGCUGGAUUGGGUCCCUUUUUUGAUACGUCAAAUAUAUCAAUGGGGUGCAAUUUUACCGAGGAAAUAUAUCAAUAGGUAGUAAUUGACCAAUUGUGAUAUAUCAAUGGGUCAUAAUUUUUCAGUUUGUUGUGCAACAAUAUUAAUCUUCACUGAAUUUCCCAAACUCUUUGUCAUUAAAAUUUCCACAUCUGCUGAAACUUAUUGACAUAAGUUUUGUUAUUGAUCAAAUUUUAUUACACUGUCACAAUUAAUAAUCUUUACCCACUAGAGUAUAGUAAAAAAAAGGUCACAUAUCAGACCUUUUGGUACUAUUUGAGCUGAUAAAUAUAUAUGAAUGGGUUAUGAUUUCGCUGUGAAAUAUAUGUAUAGGUAGGGAUUUCACAAUUAUUCAAUAUAUGAAUGGGGGUGUUUUUUAAAUCCCAGCUGCACAACUGUACCUAAAAUACCAUGUUGAGACCCCCCUGUGGACAAAGUAAUUGAUGUGUAACAAACUUUAACCCCAGACUGUAUCUACUUGUUUACUCUAAA